AGUGUUUACUGUGUGGAACGCUGAUUUUCGUCAGAUCUGUAAAUUUUGGCCUCGGAUACAGACGUAGUUAGCUAUCCACGCAAAGCUAGGUUUACUUCAUUAGAUCUCACCAAAAGUUCACUCAUGCCCAGAUACGUGUACGCUCGUGGUUACUAUGGCCCUGCGUGGCAUCGAAUCAAGCACAGUUAUCCGAUCCGCUGGCGAAAACCCAUGCCCGCAGACAAAGAGGCUGCCAAGAAAGAGCGUAGGCGCCGACUGUAUUACCGACGUCAGAGAUACAGGGCAGUCAUGGGAUACGCCGCCUACCGGUGCGGGGGAAGGCGAGUGGCCGGCUCCACACGGUACUACUACAGGCCGGUAGGCUUUCGUUAGUUAGUCCAGAAACUGACUCAUAUCACAAGGAUUUCAACUGAGACGACAAAAAUAAUACAAUGGAAGCAACAAAAACGGCGUUGGGAAAAGCUAAAUUUCAAUGCCAAAAGCCGAUAACAGUCUCCUAUACCUUGAAUACCAUCAUUUCAGUUUUCUCCCUCUAGUACCAUAUGGAGGGAAAUAAUUUCGAUACACGGUCUAACCUUACAAGUGUUUUUCGUGCUACACAAGUUCAAGUUGAUGCAGGACAUUAAGGACGUAAACAGAUCCAGUCAACCGGGAUGUUGUAACACAAGUACUAUCAACACCUACACAGACUCCCAUCAACUUUGAAAACACCAUGGGAUAAGCAUAGUGAGAACAAAAAGAGAGAGAGAGAGAGAGAGA